rnacentral:rRNA from 1 species
AUUGAACGCUGGCGGCAUGCCUUACACAUGCAAGUCGAACGGCAGCGCGGACUUCGGUCUGGCGGCGAGUGGCGAACGGGUGAGUAAUACAUCGGAACGUACCCUGUUGUGGGGGAUAACUAGUCGAAAGAUUAGCUAAUACCGCAUACGACCUGAGGGUGAAAGUGGGGGACCGCAAGGCCUAACGCAGCAGGAGCGGCCGAUGUCUGAUUAGCUAGUUGGUGGGGUAAAGGCCCACCACGGCGACGAUCAGUAGCUGGUCUGAGAGGACGAUCAGCCACACUGGGACUGAGACACGGCCCAGACUCCUACGGGAGGCAGCAGUGGGGAAUUUUGGACAAUGGGGGCAACCCUGAUCCAGCAAUGCCGCGUGUGUGAAGAAGGCCUUCGGGUUGUAAAGCACUUUUGUCCGGAAAGAAAUCGCGCUGGUUAAUACCUGGCGUGGAUGACGGUACCGGAAGAAUAAGCACCGGCUAACUACGUGCCAGCCGCCGCAGUAA